UACGUAGGGGGCAAGCGUUGUCCGGAAUUAUUGGGCGUAAAGAGCGCGUAGGCGGUCCGAUAAGUCGGCUGUGAAAGUCAGGGGCUCAACCCUUGGAAGCCGGCCGAUACUGUCGGACUAGAGUCCGGAAGAGGCGAGUGGAAUUCCCGGUGUAGCGGUGAAAUGCGCAGAUAUCGGGAGGAACACCAAUGGCGAAGGCAGCUCGCUGGGACGGUACUGACGCUGAGGCGCGAAAGCGUGGG
rnacentral:rRNA from 1 species